ACGCUGGCGGCAGGCCUAACACAUGCAAGUCGAGCGGAUGAGAGGAGCUUGCUCCUCGAUUCAGCGGCGGACGGGUGAGUAAUGCCUAGGAAUCUGCCUAGUAGUGGGGGACAACGUUUCGAAAGGAACGCUAAUACCGCAUACGUCCUACGGGAGAAAGUGGGGGAUCUUCGGACCUCACGCUAUUAGAUGAGCCUAGGUCGGAUUAGCUAGUUGGUAGGGUAAAGGCCUACCAAGGCGACGAUCCGUAACUGGUCUGAGAGGAUGAUCAGUCACACUGGAACUGAGACACGGUCCAGACUCCUACGGGAGGCAGCAGUGGGGAAUAUUGGACAAUGGGCGAAAGCCUGAUCCAGCCAUGCCGCGUGUGUGAAGAAGGCCUUCGGGUCGUAAAGCACUUUAAGUUGGGAGGAAGGGCUCAUAGCGAAUACCUGUGAGUUUUGACGUUACCAACAGAAUAAGCACCGGCUAACUUCGUGCCAGCAGCCGCGGUAAUACGAAGGGUGCAAGCGUUAAUCGGAAUUACUGGGCGUAAAGCGCGCGUAGGUGGCUUGAUAAGUUGGAUGUGAAAUCCCCGGGCUCAACCUGGGAACUGCAUCCAAAACUGUCUGGCUAGAGUGCGGUAGAGGGUAGUGGAAUUUCCAGUGUAGCGGUGAAAUGCGUAGAUAUUGGAAGGAACACCAGUGGCGAAGGCGACUACCUGGACUGACACUGACACUGAGGUGCGAAAGCGUGGGGAGCAAACAGGAUUAGAUACCCUGGUAGUCCACGCCGUAAACGAUGUCAACUAGCCGUUGGGAUCCUUGAGAUCUUAGUGGCGCAGCUAACGCAUUAAGUUGACCGCCUGGGGAGUACGGCCGCAAGGUUAAAACUC
rnacentral:rRNA from 1 species